rnacentral:lncRNA from 1 species
UUCUCCUCGCACUGUCAGAGAGGCUGCAUGGGGGGUGAUGGUAGGACCUCCUCCCACUCCUCCAGCUGGGUGUCCCGCAGCCUGCACUGGGUUACCGCGUGCGUGACGUCACCGCCCUUUCCCCCCCUCAUUCAUGAGCUAUUGAUACACUUAACAUUAACUUCUGACUGCACCAGAGCACUUUGAUUUCAGAAUACAUUCAGGAGUAGAUACAACACAACGAAAUUGGUUUGAAGCUAAAAGAUUCCUGCAGUAAUUGUUGGUUUUCUUUACUUCACCAAAUUACAGGAAAUGUAGUGUCAAAAACUGAAAUUUUUACGCACUUUUUUAAGGUUCUGAUACUAUUUAAUCAUCUACCUGCAACAAUUUCUGUAGAUUUUUAGAUACCUUAGCUAGUAUAUUUAAUUUAUCUGGUUAGUUUUGGUCAGUUCCAUUACAAAAACACGCUACCUAUGACCUAAAACUAACAAUUUUCUACUUCUUUUUAUAUUUCAAAUUAAAGAUUGGGUUGUAAGAAGAACAAAAGUACUAUACAGCGAUCAGUAUUUUAAUGAACUACUUUUAAAAAGAUGACUAUAAACUUACCCUGGCUGUUUGGCGCUAUCAGGUGCGUGCGCGCGCGCAGGUUCAGCGGCGGCCAGAGGCACGCGCCGCCGUACCCGCAGAUUAUUGGUGGAUUCUCCCAUGAUGCCGGCGUCUUUUAAAGCGCGAGCUGACGGAGAGACAUAAAAAGCCCUGCGAUGGAUGCGCGCGGUGCUCCCAGUGAGCCGACUGGCGACAUGUGAAAUGUCCUCGGGCGUUUUCGGUGGCUUUUAUGCGCUGCUUCCUGUGGAACGCAGGAAUUGGAUGUACAAUCCCAAACCGGAAUUCCUGCCCAUCCGUCUUCCUAGAGAGGCUGUCAGUGUUCCUGCAGGAACUUAUCAGCUUGAAAAAUGACCCAAAUCUCAGCUGAAACGGCGCCGCUGGAGGCUACCGGGUACCAACCACGUUGCUUCUACAAAUGUUGCUUUUAUCUAAACAAUAACUCAACUAAUGCAUGAAAAUAAUAUAACCCUCCUCUCUUUUCUAUCCCCAACCCAUAUAAAAUAACAUGGUUGUAUUUUUAAGACGUUUCCCUUACAACCCUGUAAAAUUACAUUUAUGUGUAUGUUAAUAAUUUCCAAAACCAUGAAUUAUACUUGCAAGCACAGAUUUGUCCAAGAUGGAGAGUUGACCAGUGUGUGUGUGUGUGUGUGUGUGUGUUUGGAAGGAGCAGAGAGGUCCAGAUGUGCACGCGCACAAACGGAGUCUGACCGUUGAGCUCUUAUCUGCGUCUGCCUGGAGUCACUUUCACAGUUCAAUCAGCGUUCUGAUUGUGACUUUAUUAUCUCCUGUUUGCGUCGGUGUAAAGGUGGGGGGGAGGAGGGUCAAAGGGCAAAGGAGGUCGAGUGAAUGAAAAGGAUUCCCACAGCUGUCAGGUAUAAAGUUAGCAGAUGGGGUUUACCAACAGCUUGUCCUCCAUCUUCUUCAACAAUUAUCUUUUAUCUCAGAGCCAAGUCGUUCUCAUCCAUCUCGACCUUACAGCUGUUAGUGGCUAACUGAUGCAUUGUGGGUGCUUAACCCUUGUCAGUUUACGGCGGCGGUUUGACGUUUCCCCUUUCCCCUCUUUCUUUCGGCUCGGUGCUUUCAAUGUUUGAGAGAACAUUUGAGAGAACCUUUCCCAACAUGGCUCACGCACAUGUUGGCCUCCUGCUCGCCAACGUGUGCGAUCUGUCAAAUCAGAGCGCUCUCUGCUGCUGCGGCUGACUCGUUUGUCCUGCGCGGCACCCCCCCCGACUGCGCUUUGAGAUCCUAAUUGAUCAAUUUCAAAGGCAUGAGCAGCCUCGGACACUUCCUGGUUCAUUUCCAGACCCUCUAAUGACCACCUGGAAUACCCCAGGGUGUACAAACAUUAUGGAUGGCGUGAAUUUGGCACUUUCGCCAUGUGACCUUUUUAUUCAUGCACAAUUCAAGUCAAACAUGAUUUAAAGAGCACUAGUUUAAAGUGUCAGUUUGGCCCCCUUUCAACAGUCUAAAUCUGCCCUGUCCUGUCAGGAUCAGAUAAAGACCAAUCAGAAGAGCAGGUGGGUGUAAAACAAGUCUCAUGUUUGUUUGUUCACGCACCCCCCCCCCCCCGGUUUCCCCACCUGCUGUAUCCGUCUCCUUCCUCUCAGGUUGUUCCCGAGCUCGUCUCACAGCGGGGGGUCCACAGAUGGUAAAUAAAUACUUCGCCCCUGCUUCUGUGUUAGUUCAGUACCCAGACCGCAAUUGAUGAUAAAAAUCCCACUCUCGGAUCGGCUGGGGGGUAUAACUGACCCCCGGUUUAGUGUUUAACACACACCUGUUUAACACACACCAGUCAAACAAGCCUGAAAGGUGUCCACAGGUGUGUUUGACUGUCCCCGUCCUUCCACUGUUUCUGUCCAAAACAAUCCCGUCGCCUUUGA